UACAGAGGUCCCAAGCGUUGUUCGGAUUCAUUGGGCGUAAAGGGUGCGUAGGUGGCGCGCUAAGUCAGGUGUGAAAUUUCGGAGCUUAACUCCGAAAUUGCAUUCGAUACUGCCGUGCUCGAGGACUGGAGAGGAGACUGGAAUUCAUGGUGUAGCAGUGAAAUGCGUAGAGAUCAUGAGGAAGACCAGUGGCGAAGGCGGGUCUCUGGACAGUUCCUGACACUGAGGCACGAAGGCCAGGGGAGCAAACGGG
rnacentral:rRNA from 1 species